UCUGCUAUCAUGAAUAAGGAUUAUAUAAGUUCAUAAUACGGAUGAAUGUUUCUACUAACUACCGCAAAUAGUUAUCUAUAAUUCAAUUAUAGGUAUAU
rnacentral:ncRNA from 2 species